rnacentral:rRNA from 1 species
UACGUAGGGUGCGAGCGUUAAUCGGAAUUACUGGGCGUAAAGCGUGCGCAGGCGGUUGUGCAAGACAGAUGUGAAAUCCCCGGGCUUAACCUGGGAACUGCAUUUGUGACUGCACGGCUAGAGUGUGUCAGAGGGGGGUAGAAUUCCACGUGUAGCAGUGAAAUGCGUAGAUAUGUGGAGGAAUACCGAUGGCGAAGGCAGCCCCCUGGGAUAACACUGACGCUCAUACACGAAAGCGUGGGGAGCAAACAGG